rnacentral:rRNA from 1 species
CAGGACGAACGCUGGCGGCGUGCCUAACACAUGCAAGUCGAGCGGGACAUUGCGACGGAGACGAAGUACUCGUACGGAGUCAAAGAUGUAAUGUCUAGCGGCGGACGGGUGAGUAACGCGUGAGCAACCUGUCCCUUACAGGGGGAUAACACAGCGAAAGUUGUACUAAUACCGCAUAAGACCACAGAGUGACAUCGCUCAGGGGUCAAAGGAGCAAUCCGGUAAGGGGUGGGCUCGCGUCCGAUUAGAUAGUUGGUGAGGUAACGGCCCACCAAGUCGACGAUCGGUAGCCGACCUGAGAGGGUGAUCGGCCACAUUGGGACUGAGACACGGCCCAAACUCCUACGGGAGGCAGCAGUGGGGAAUAUUGGGCAAUGGGGGGAAACCCUGACCCAGCAACGCCGCGUGAGGGAAGAAGGUUUUCGGAUCGUAAACCUCUGUCCCAGGUGAAGAGGAAGAGACGGUAGCCUGGGAGGAAGCCCCGGCUAACUACGUGCCAGCCGCUGC